rnacentral:rRNA from 1 species
UACGUAGGGGGCUAGCGUUGUCCGGAAUCAUUGGGCGUAAAGCGCGUGUAGGCGGCCCGGUAAGUCCGCUGUGAAAGUCGGGGGCUCAACCCUCGAAUGCCGGUGGAUACUGUCGGGCUCGAGUACGGGAGAGGCGAGUGGAAUUCCUGGUGUAGCGGUGAAAUGCGCAGAUAUCAGGAGGAACACCAAUUGCGAAGGCAGCUCGCUGGCCCGGUACUGACGCUGAGGUGCGAAAGCGUGGGGAGCAAACAGG